GACGUAGGGCGCGAGCGUUGUCCGGAUUUAUUGGGCGUAAAGCGCACGUAGGCGGAUUGUUAAGUCAGGGGUGAAAUGCCAAGGCUCAACCUUGGAACUGCCUUUGAUACUGGCAAUCUCGAGUCCGGGAGAGGUGAGUGGAACUGCGAGUGUAGAGGUGAAAUUCGUAGAUAUUCGCAAGAACACCAGUGGCGAAGGCGGCUCACUGGCCCGGUACUGACGCUGAGGUGCGAAAGCGUGGGGAGCAAACAGG
rnacentral:rRNA from 1 species